rnacentral:rRNA from 1 species
GACGAACGCUGGCGGCGUGCUUAACACAUGCAAGUCGAACGGAAAGGCCCUGCUUUUGUGGGGUGCUCGAGUGGCGAACGGGUGAGUAACACGUGAGUAACCUGCCCUUGACUUUGGGAUAACUUCAGGAAACUGGGGCUAAUACCGGAUAGGAGCUCCUGCUGCAUGGUGGGGGUUGGAAAGUUUCGGCGGUUGGGGAUGGACUCGCGGCUUAUCAGCUUGUUGGUGGGGUAGUGGCUUACCAAGGCUUUGACGGGUAGCCGGCCUGAGAGGGUGACCGGCCACAUGGGGACUGAGAUACGGCCCAGACUCCUACGGGAGGCAGCAGUGGGGAAUAUUGCACAAUGGGCGGAAGCCUGAUGCAGCAACGCCGCGUGCGGGAUGACGGCCUUCGGGUUGUAAACCGCUUUCGCCUGUGACGAAGCGUGAGUGACGGUAAUGAGUAAAGAAGCACCGGCUAACUACGUG